GAGUCACGUGAUGCAUGUCAUGGCCGCCUCCAUGGCCCGGGGAGGCGCUCGCGCCCGGCUGGAGAGGAGGACGCGGGCGGCCCGGAGCGGCCCGGGGACGUGGUGAACGUGGUGUUCGUAGACCGCUCAGGCCAGCGGAUCCCAGUGAGUGGCAGAGUCGGGGACAAUGUUCUUCACCUGGCCCAGCGCCACGGGGUGGACCUGGAAGGGGCCUGUGAAGCCUCCCUGGCCUGCUCCACCUGCCAUGUGUAUGUGAGUGAAGACCACCUGGAUCUCCUGCCUCCUCCCGAGGAGAGGGAAGACGACAUGCUAGACAUGGCCCCCCUCCUCCAGGAGAACUCGCGGCUGGGCUGCCAGAUUGUGCUGACACCGGAGCUGGAAGGAGCGGAAUUCACCCUGCCCAAGAUCACCAGGAACUUCUACGUGGAUGGCCAUGUCCCCAAGCCCCACUGACAUGAACACCUGGACCAUUCCACAUUGCCAUGGCCCCAGGGCCCAGAUUGAGGGAAUAGCCAGGUGCCAGCCCUGCCCAGAGUGCGGACAGGCCCGGGAGAGACGUGGAAGCCCCUGUGAAGGACAACACC
rnacentral:lncRNA from 1 species